rnacentral:rRNA from 1 species
ACACUCCUACGGGAGGCAGCAGUGGGGAAUAUUGGACAAUGGGCGCAAGCCUGAUCCAGCCAUGCCGCGUGAGUGAUGAAGGCCCUAGGGUUGUAAAGCUCUUUCACCGGUGAAGAUAAUGACGGUAACCGGAGAAGAAGCCCCGGCUAACUUCGUGCCAGCAGCCGCGGUAAUACGAAGGGGGCUAGCGUUGUUCGGAUUUACUGGGCGUAAAGCGCACGUAGGCGGACUAUUAAGUCAGGGGUGAAAUCCCGGGGCUCAACCCCGGAACUGCCUUUGAUACUGGUAGUCUUGAGUUCGAGAGAGGUGAGUGGAAUUCCGAGUGUAGAGGUGAAAUUCGUAGAUAUUCGGAGGAACACCAGUGGCGAAGGCGGCUCACUGGCUCGAUACUGACGCUGAGGUGCGAAAGCGUGGGGAGCAAACAGGAUUAGAUACCCCGUGUAGUCCC